AGGGCAAAGAAUUAGGCAGAUGACGGCUAUUUAGUUUUGUUUUAAAUUAUAAUGCUUGUGAAAAUUUUGAUUUUUUAAACUAUGUGCCUACAUAGCUUGGACAAAAAUAAAGUUUAGGGACACCUAGGUGGCUCAGUGGUUGAGCGUCUUCCUUUGGCUCAGGGCAUGAUCCCAGGAUCCGGGAUCAAGUCCCACAUCAGGCUCCCCACAGGAAGCCUGCUUCUCCCUCUGCCUGUGUCUAUGCCUCUCUCUGUGUGUGUCUCUCAUCUCUCAUAAAUAAAUAAAUAAAAUCUUUUUUAAAAAAUUAAGUUUAAAAAGAUUAGAAGAAUAUAAGGAUUAGCCCAGGAAAGAUAAGACUCCUUGCAAAGAGUAGUAUGAUAAUCUUGGUUUAAGGGAGAUGGAUGGUAGUUGGGGGCAGUUUUAUAUUUGUUACUCUCUACCCACCUCAAGGAGUAGAGAGUAAUUACUACGAUGAUCCCCAGACACAUCAAGUGCUAAAUAGUUAAGUAAUAAUAGAGAGACCAGACUUGCACUUAUGUUCUUGUUUUUUCAGGUGUAAGCAUCAUCCUGAAAGGACAGUCUAUGUGUAUUACUAAUCCAGUACGCCUUCUAUUCUUCUUCUACCCAUCCCCCAAUCCUCAUCACAUAAGAGCACAGGCAGCCCCAGCAGAUCUUUCUAAUCCUAUGCAAGGACAGCCCCUUCCAACAUGUUAAAAUAUAAAAGGUAUAAAAGCAGCAGCACUUUGCCAGCAGCCAUCUCAGACUGAGGAUAAAACUAACACAGGGAAGAAACAAGGAAGGUAUCAUCCAUUUACUUAAACCACUAAAUCUCCUUUCUGUUUAAAUCACUUUGAAUUAGCUGUUGUUAUUAUUAUUUAUGAGUCAAAGCAUACUGACGACUUUAUCUGAAAAGGUCACAAUAGGUACUAAUAAGCUGCAAACUGGAAGCAACCUUUCCAGGGAGCGAAUAGGCAAUAUGUAUCCAAAACUUUAAAAUGAAUUACAUCUUUCACUUUAUAAUCCUGCUCCUAGGAUUGUAUUCCAAGGGGCUAAUCACAGAUGGUUAAAGACCUGUGUUAGAG
rnacentral:lncRNA from 12 species